rnacentral:lncRNA from 1 species
NNNNNUUGCAAGGUGGUCCUUGCUGAUUCACACGGGAUUUUCACGUAUCCCAUGCUAUUCGGGUCAAAGCGUAAGCCAGUGAUGCUUUCGGCUACUAGACUUUCAGCAUCUAAGGUGCAACAUUCGUGUUGCUUUGCCUAGCAACACGACGCUUGUAUUGCUCUCCCACAACCUCAUUUUCAUGGUUUAAGCUGCUCCUAUUUUGCUCGCCGCUACUACUGGAAUUGCUUUUGCUUUCUUUUCGUCUGGCUAUUAAGAUAUUUUAGUUCGCCAGUUUGUCUCUUGCCUCUCCAUGGAUUCAGCAGCAAUUUGAAAGGUUACCCUAUUCGGGAAUCUUCGGAUCUAUGCUUAUUUUCAACUCCUCGAAGCAUUUCGUCGAUUACUAUGCCUUUCCUCAUCUCUGGGUGCCUAGGUAUUCACUGUAAGCCUUUUCUCGUUUGAACCUCGCCCUUCUAAGGCUAUGCCAAUGAUAAAUCAUAGAUCAAACCGNAAGAACUAGGAACGGAGAGCUUUCCCCCCUUUUCGCCCAACUCUUUGUUCUUAAGAACGCUAGUUUUAAGAAUGAGUGAUUGCCCUUCUUUGACCCUUACUGCCCACCCUGAGAACAGACAGCUAAUGCAUUCCACUUAUUGAAUAGGGUUCUAUGGUCGGUCCGUGACCCCUGGAUGCUAAAGACGCUUUUGGGGUGAUCUUGUAGAUCCUACGGGGUGGAGAUGAUGGAGUUGGUCCAUGGAUUUUUCUUCCUUUUCUUUUAUCGCAUUUUGCUCAAAGGGUUGAAGGGAGAUAGUGCAUCAAGCUAUUCGCAAGGACCAACUUGAUCCUCUUCCCCAGGGAUCUCAGAUGAGGGACCUCUGGGAGAACUGCCAACUCCAACUACCGUACAUGUAUGAUCCAUACUAGAUCUGACCAACUACCCAUUCUACCUCCUCUACGUUCUUGACAGCCCGUCUUUGUCUCAGUAAAGUCUUUCAGUGGUAUGUUUCGGUCCUCUUCCUAAAAGAACCAAAAAGAUUUGUGCCAAAAUAACAGAUGCCAAGAAGAACAAAAGGCCUUGGACACGUAAUGGAUCUUGAAGUACUAUUUCUGCAUCUCCUUGACCAAAUCCGCCCACAUUAAGAUUACUCGUUAAUGGUUGAUCAAAUUGGAUGGAUUCACCCUCUGAAACAAGAAGUUCUGGUCCUGGAGGGAUAAUAUCAACCACUUGACAUCCAUCUGAUGGAUCUGUUAUGAAUAUUUCAUAUCCCCCCUUUUCUUUUCAUAUGAUUUGGCUUACUAUACCCACUGCUGUAGCAUUAUAAACUGUAUAGUUACUCUUGCUUUCGUCGGGAUAAAUUUGACCCCUUUCCCUAUUCCCACCUAUGUAUAUAGGAUAUUUUAAGAAGUGUACAUCUUUCUUAGUAGCAAGGUCGGGGGAAAGAAUAGGAAAUGUGAUUUCACUAUAUUUCUGACUAGGCACAUGCCCUAUCACAAGAAUAUUUUUUUUAUUGGGACGAUAGCUCUGAAAAGACAAAUUGCUUAUCUUUUCUUUCAUCUCAAGAGAAAUAUGAUCGUUAGGGGCUAAUUUAAACCCCUCUGGUAAAAUAAGAACAAUCCCUACAUUCAAACCUCCUUUCUUACCAUUAGCAAGAACUUGUUUCAGUUGCUUAUCAUAAGGAAUUCGAAUAACUGCUUAAAAUACAUCUCUUUUCAUCCUAUGAACUUUAAGGUGUAUGAAGUUUCAUAUUUUAUUUUUGACUAAACAAGUUAUCAAAUGAAUUGUAAUUACAACUGAAAUGAUCUAAAAAGAAAUAUGAGUUAAUGUAUGCUCUAAGGUUGAAAAUAUCAUAAAAAUCUUAAAAAAUAGGAGUUCUUUAAUUACAAGAAAUAAGGAAUUGAAUUCAUUAUAGGAUCUAUUUAGUUUUUUUAGAAGAUGACAUGCCACCACUCGGACUUAAACUGAGAUGCUCUAGCACUGUUUCCUAAGAGCAGCGUGUCUACCAAUUUCACCAUAGUGACUUGUUUUGAACUCAUAAUAGCCUAUGAAUAAGCAGUCGUCUAGAUUUAAGAAUUCAAUUGGUUGCAAUAUUUUCCCUCUUUUAUCCAAUGUUGAAUCGACGACCUAUGUCUUAUGUAUACGUCAGAAGAAUUUUUUGGAUUUGAAUUGAAGGGAAAAAAAAACAACUUUGCUGACAAUUACAUAUAUUUUUAUUUUGUCAGAAAAGUCCUCCGAGUAUAUUGGUUUUGCAUUAGAUUAAGUUUUUUUAAUAUGAAUAAAGAAGAGAGGAUAGGAUCAUUACAUUCAUAAAAAAAAAAAAAAGAGAGAGAAUUUACCCUAAGUAAUUGAGCGUGAGAGCCAAAUAAAUCGAAAGAUUCAUGUUUGGUUCGGGAAGGGAUUAUGGAAGUUUUGAAAUGAAUGGAAAGAUAAUCUACUUUCAUUAAGUGAUUUAUUAGAUAAUCGAAAAUAGAGGAUCUUGAAUACUAUUUGAAAUUCAAAAGAACUACGUGGGGGCCAUUAAACAGCUGGAAAAAGCCCGGGCUCGCUUACGAAAAUUGGAAAUGGAAGCAGAUCAGUUUCAGAUGAAUGGAUACUCUAAGAUAGAGUGAGAAAAAUGGAAUUUGAUUAAUUCAACUUCUAAGACUUUAGAACAAUUAAAAAAUUACAAAAAUGAAACGAUUCAGUUUGAACAGCAAAGGGCAAUUAAUCAAGUCCAACAACGGGUUUUCCAGCAAGCCUUACAAGGAGCUUUAGGAAAUCUGAAUAGUUGUUUAAACAACGAGUUACAUUUACGUACCAUUAGUGCUAAUAUUGGCAUGUUGGUACCCAUAUUUUUCAAAAUAGAUAUCUGUGUUAUACUACAAGUCUAAGUUUUGAAAAAACAGAUGAGAUUCGGUCCCAUCAAAUCUAAACAAUCUUGUUUUUUUGAAUAUGAAGAGAUAAAGAAGCCAUUGCAAUUGCUGAAAGUACUAGGCCUACUAAAGGCACAAAAAUAGAGGGGAAAAAAGAAAGAAAGGGGUCGAUUUA